rnacentral:rRNA from 1 species
UCAAGCUACAAAGAGCGCAAGGGGAAUGCCUUGGCACUGGGAGCCGACGAAGGACGUAGCGAUCUACGAUAAGCCACGGUGAGCCGAAAGCAGGCAUCGACCCGUGGAUUUCCGAAUGGGGCAACCCGACUGAAUAGAACUCAGUCAACAUACGGUGAAUAAAAUAGUCGUAUGUAGGGAACCGCCUGAACUGAAACAUCUAAGUAGGGCGAGGAAAAGAAAUCAACCGAGAUUCCGCAAGUAGUGGCGAGCGAACGCGGAAGAGGCCAAACCGAGAGUAGUAAUACUUUCGGGGUUUGGACAGCAUAAGGUAUGCUAAAGGUUAGCAGAAGGACAUGGGACGGUCCACCACAGAGAGUGAUAGUCUCGUAUGCGAAAACCUAAAGCAGCCGGCUGGAUCCAGAGUACCGCCGGACACGUGAAACCCGGUGGGAAUACGGGGGGACCAUCCUCCAAGCCUAAAUACUACCCAGUGACCGAUAGCGUAUAGUACUGUGAAGGAAAGGUGAAAAGAACCCCGGGAGGGGAGUGAAAAGAACCUGAAACCUUGUGCUUACAAGCACACAAAGCACGUCAAAGUGUGAUGUGGUACCUUUUGUAGAAUGGUCCGGCGAGUGAAUGUAACUGGCGAGGUUAAGUUCUUAAGGAACGGAGCCGAAGCGAAAGCGAGUCUGAACAGGGCGAUUCAGUCAGUUGUAUUCGACCCGAAACCGGGUGACCUAUCCAUGUCCAGGAUGAAGUUAAGGUAAAACUUGAUGGAGGUCCGAACCCACGGUCGUUGAAAUGCCCGGGGAUGAGAUGUGGAUAGCGGAGAAAUUCCAAUCGAACCCGGAUAUAGCUGGUUCUCUCCGAAAUAGCUUUAGGGCUAGCCUCGACUGAACAUUACCGGAGGUAGAGCGCUGAAUGGGCUAGGGGCCGAGAGGUUACUGAACCCUAUCAAACUUCAAAUGCCGGAAAAUGAUAGUCGGGAGUCAGACUGCGUGAGAUAAGUUUCGUAGUCGAAAGGGAAACAGCCCAGACCCACAGCUAAGGUCCCAAAGUACGGUUAAGUGGAAAAGGAUGUGGAGUUGCACAGACAACCAGGAUGUUGGCUUAGAAGCAGCCACUCAUUAAAAGAGUGCGUAAUAGCUCACUGGUCGAGUGACUCUGCGCCGAAAAUUUAACGGGGCUAAAUCGUACACCGAAGCUUGGGAUGUUAGGUGUUAGACAGUAGGAGUUAGGAGAAAAGGCGAUGGGAGAAUAUCGAGAGCUAAAAAUAUAUGAGAAGUCAUAUAAAGCAGCAUUGGCGAUAUAUAGAAUGACAGAAACUUUUCCUAAGGAAGAGAAGUAUGGAAUAAUAAGCCAAAUGAGGCGAGCAUCAAUAUCGAUAGCAUUGAAUAUAGCGGAAGGAAAUGCAAAGCGCGAAAGCAAGCAGGAAUUCAAAAGGUUUUUGCAAAUGUCAAUGGGCUCAGCAAAUGAAAUGAGCGUGUUGAUAGAUUUUGCAAAAGACCUGGGCUAUAUUGAUAAAACAACCCAUGAACGAGCAAGUCAGGAAUAUGAAGAAAUCGGGAAAAUGAUACGAGGCUUCAUAAAAGGACUGGAAUAACAAAAGCCUAAUCCCUAAUACCUAGUGCCUAAUACCUAACAUGGUAGGAGAGCGUUGAAUGCGGGGUGAAGUCAGAGCGAAAGCGCUGGUGGACUGCAUUGAAGUGAGAAUGCCGGAAUGAGUAGCGAGAUUUAUGUGAGAAUCAUAAAGGCCGAAAGACUAAGGUUUCAGAAGGAAGGUUCGUCCGCUUCUGGUUAGCCGGGAGCUAAGGUGAGGCCGAAAGGCGUAGCCGAUGCACAUACGGUGGAGAUUCCGUAGCCGUCAAAAUAUUUAAGCAAAGGGACACUUAUGAAGGGCAUGACCCGGGCGAUGGUAGCCCCGGGCGUAAGGGACCGAAAAUAAGUAGGGAAGCAUGUUUGGAAUAAGGCGAGAAAAGCUUUGUGGAUAUAUGAGACGUCCGUACCGCAAACCGACACAGGUAGUCAGGAAGAGGAUUCUAAGGCCAACGGGAGAAGGGUAGUUAAGGAACUCGGCAAAUUGACCCCGUAACUUCGGAAUAAGGGGCGGUGCGUAAGCACCCGCAGUGAAUAGGUCCAGGCGACUGUUUAUCAAAAACACAGCUCUCUGCUAAAUCGAAAGAUGACGUAUAGGGGGUGACACCUGCCCGGUGCUGGAAGGUUAAGAGGAGGGGUGCAAGCUCCGAAUUGAAGCCCCAGUAAACGGCGGCCGUAACUAUAACGGUCCUAAGGUAGCGACAUUCCUUGUCGGGUAAGUUCCGACCUGCACGACUGGUGUAAUGACAUCUCCGACGCGAGUUUCAGCCGCUGCGCCUCGCCGCC